AUGAACGCUGGCGGCUUGCCUCAUACAUGCAAGUCGAGCGAACAGACGAGGAGCUUGCUCCUCUGACGUUAGCGGCGGACGGGUGAGUAACACGUGGAUAACCUACCUAUAAGACUGGGAUAACUUCGGGAAACCGGAGCUAAUACCGGAUAAUAUAUUGAACCGCAUGGUUCAAUAGUGAAAGACGGUUUUGCUGUCACUUAUAGAUGGAUCCGCGCCGCAUUAGCUAGUUGGUAAGGUAACGGCUUACCAAGGCAACGAUGCGUAGCCGACCUGAGAGGGUGAUCGGCCACACUGGAACUGAGACACGGUCCAGACUCCUACGGGAGGCAGCAGUAGGGAAUCUUCCGCAAUGGGCGAAAGCCUGACGGAGCAACGCCGCGUGAGUGAUGAAGGUCUUCGGAUCGUAAAACUCUGUUAUUAGGGAAGAACAAAUGUGUAAGUAACUAUGCACGUCUUGACGGUACCUAAUCAGAAAGCCACGGCUAACUACGUG
rnacentral:rRNA from 1 species